AAGCUUGAAGAAGAGGUUCCUUGACAAGGCUAAGGAACAGAUGUCUAGGAUCUAUAUAUUGAAGAGAUGCAUUAUUAUGUUAUUAUGUUGGCAAAAGUACGACCACUAUUGAUUUUCAAAAAUACUUGUUUUUUCUUCUUUCUUUUCCAUUAUAGCAGUUGCAAGUACACUUGCGGUUCUUAAUUUAGAACUAUAUAGUAUUUGUAGGGUGUUGCAAGUUCUUAAUUUAGAACUAUAUAGUAUUUGUAGGGUGUUCAUGUGAAUGUACAACUAAGAAAUCCAAGUUUAAAUUGUGGUUUAGUGUGUGGUGUAGAAGAAGGUGAAAGAGCAACAAUGAUUUCACAUGGUGAUAGAGACAGGUCGUGGCUAUUAAGUGAAGUUGCUUUUGGAAGGAUUUGGGUAAAGAAUAUGGGGUUUGUUACAUUUUCUAUUGUAUAUUUUGCCAGGUAAAAAAUUAACAGCAAAUAAUCUUUACAUUUUCUAUGUAUACGGUUCAGGCACUCAAAUAUUUUGUUUCCAAGAUAUUCUCUUAUUAACUGAAAUUAAAAUAGAUUCUACUAAAUUUUGUUUCCAAGACAUUCUCUUAUAAGACUCAUUUGAAUUUUAAGUGAUUAAAGUGUGUUGGGAGGAGGGUGUUUGUUAGAGAUGGUCAUGUUAGCACUCUUCUAUAGAAUUUUGUUUUUCA
rnacentral:lncRNA from 1 species